rnacentral:rRNA from 1 species
AGAGUUUGAUCCUGGCUCAGGACGAACGCUGGCGGCGUGCUUAACACAUGCAAGUCGAACGGUAAGGCCCUUCGGGGUACACGAGUGGCGAACGGGUGAGUAACACGUGGGUAAUCUGCCCUGCACAUCGGGAUAAGCCUGGGAAACUGGGUCUAAUACCGAAUAGGACCACAGGACACAUGUCCUGUGGUGGAAAGCUUUUGCGGUGUGGGAUGGGCCCGCGGCCUAUCAGCUUGUUGGUGGGGUGAUGGCCUACCAAGGCGACGACGGGUAGCCGGCCUGAGAGGGUGUCCGGCCACACUGGGACUGAGAUACGGCCCAGACUCCUACGGGAGGCAGCAGUGGGGAAUAUUGCACAAUGGGCGAAAGCCUGAUGCAGCGACGCCGCGUGGGGGAUGACGGCCUUCGGGUUGUAAACCUCUUUCACCAUCGACGAAGGUCCGGGUUUUCUCGGGCUGACGGUAGGUGGAGAAGAAGCACCGGCCAACUACGUGCCAGCAGCCGCGGUAAUACGUAGGGUGCGAGCGUUGUCCGGAAUUACUGGGCGUAAAGAGCUCGUAGGUGGUUUGUCGCGUUGUUCGUGAAAUCUCACGGCUUAACUGUGAGCGUGCGGGCGAUACGGGCAGACUUGAGUACUGCAGGGGAGACUGGAAUUCUUGGUGUAGCGGUGGAAUGCGCAGAUAUCAGGAGGAACACCGGUGGCGAAGGCGGGUCUCUGGGCAGUAACUGACGCUGAGGAGCGAAAGCGUGGGGAGCGAACAGGAUUAGAUACCCUGGUAGUCC